AUAUUUACCUGGCAAGGGAGAUACCAUGAUCAGAAGGUGGUUUUCCCAGGGUAAGGCUUAUCCAUUGUACUCCGAAUGUGCUGACCCCUGCGAUUUCCCCAAAUGUGGAAAACUGCAUAAUUUGUGGUAGUGGGGGACUGUGUUCGCGCUAUCCCCUA